rnacentral:lncRNA from 1 species
GAUAGGAAAAAAUUCAAAGCUCUAAUAGAAACUCAGCUUUCCCAAGUAUAAACCUAGGAACUGGAAGUGCUCAGUAAGAAGAGGUGGAAAAAUGACUCAGUUCCAACUAGUUAUCCACAGAACAAAUGACUUAUAAACUUGAAAUAUAACUUCCCUUCUUCAUAUUACUUUGGUCUCCAUUUUCUCCCUGAUAGGAAACAUGUCCCCAUAGCUUUCUGGCUUCAACAAUUCAAACCUAUAUCCCAUGAUCAUUCUGAAAGUAAUUUUGCACAGACAUCUCCUCACCCCAGUGCCUGCCUGGAACUCACUCAAGGUCACCAAACAACUUGGUUGUGAACCAACCGCCUUAACCUUCAGGGGGAAGAGGGAAUAGCUAGACCAGGAAACUGGAAGUGAAUGGGGAAAAGGUGAGGACUUCACAAGCUUGGUCUAUGAGAGCUUGAUCAGAAGCCAAGGCAGUGGUGGAAACGGAGGGCAUGGCCCAGAACAGACCUGUGGGCUGUGCUAGUUUCUAAAGAGAUGACUACCCAGGAAGCAGGGAGGACAGAAGUCUGUGGGAGGCAUGGGGGCAAUGGGACCUGGUUACACUGUUAUUCUUGGACUGUGAAUUUUGCUGAUGUAAAACAGACUAUUCUGUAAACCUAAUGUCAUGUACAAAUAACAAGUGUUAACGCAGUAAAACAUUCAAAAUGAAAAGUC